rnacentral:rRNA from 1 species
GAUGAACGCUAGCGGCAGGCUUAACACAUGCAACCUUGAGACCGGCGCACGGGUGCGUAACGCGUAUGCAACCUACCUUUUACAGAGGGAUAGCCCAGAGAAAUUUGGAUUAAUACCUCAUGGUAUAUAUCAUUCGCAUGUUUGAUAUAUUAAAGUUCCAACGGUAAAAGAUGGGCAUGCGUCCUAUUAGCUAGAUGGUAAGGUAACGGCUUACCAUGGCAACGAUAGGUAGGGGUCCUGAGAGGGAGAUCCCCCACACUGGUACUGAGACACGGACCAGACUCCUACGGGAGGCAGCAGUGAGGAAUAUUGGACAAUGGGCGCAAGCCUGAUCCAGCCAUGCCGCGUGCAGGAAGAAGCAUCUAUGGUGUGUAAACUGCUUUUGUACGGGAAGAAACACUCCUUCGUGAAGGAGCUUGACGGUACCGUAAGAAUAAGGAUCGGCUAACUCCGUG